AUCCCUAAAUGAUCCAUUUGAAGAGGUGGGUACAAUGGUCAGCAAUGUAAAGGGGUCAGUAGAGGCUAAAAAGUGCUGUGAGGACAUGUCCGGAUCUCAAACAUAUCACUGAACUAGCUUUUGAUAUCAUUUUAAUGCAAAUACAAAUGUGAGGCUGAAUUUCAAUGGCAUUGCAAAAUGACACAAAUCUUGGUAUGCAUCUUCUGGACCAUGACCUGAGGCUAUGCAAGAGGUACAGAAGUUGAUCACAGGUCACAGCAGUUGCAGCAGCUGGAGAAGAUAUGAACAAUUGGCUCCAGUCUGGAUAUUUAGCUCCCCAAGAUGGCAUAAGGAAGAAACCUUGAGAGGAACCAGAAGAGGGUC